rnacentral:rRNA from 1 species
AGCGAACGCUGGCGGCAGGCCUAACACAUGCAAGUCGAACGGCAGCAUAGUAAGAGCUUGCUCUGACGGGUGGCGAGUGGGGGACGGGGGCGGAAGACAUCGGAAUCUACUUUUAAGUGGGGGUUAACAUAGGGAAACUUACGCUAAUACCGGAUACGUCCCACGUGUGAAAGCAGGUGAUCUUCGGACCAUGCGCGAAUGUACGAGCCGAUGACGGGUUAGCUAGUUGGCGGGGUGAAGGGCCACCAAGGCGACGAUCCGUAGCUGGUCUGAGAGGCUGUUCACCCACACUGGAACUGAGGCACGGUCCGGACUCCUGCGGGAGGCACCCGUGGGGAAUAUUGGACGAUGGGCGCAGGCCUGAUCCAGGCAUACCGGGUGGAUGAAGAAGGCCUUCGGGUUGUAAAGCCCUUUUGUUGGGACAGAAAAGCAGCCGGUUAAUACCCCGCUGUUCUGACGGUACCCAAAGAAUAAGCCCCGGCUAACUUCGUG